UCGGAAAAUAAGCAUGGGUUCUGAGUGCUGGGGCUUUUGAGGUCUUUCAAUUGAGAUGCAGCCGACUGUCGACAAGGUUUUACAUUUUGUCCUGAGGGGGAAGUUUCUCAUUACUGAAAGGCAAAGGGAGUUCCCAAACUCUGGAUCCUGUUUUCUCCUUUUCCAUUUCACAUCAUUGUUUGCUGAAGCAGCUGGUCAUGCUGGAUGGUCAGGAGGUCUCACCACGGCCUGCCCUUCUUUUCCCAGCACACAGAACAUUGCCUCGAAAGAGUGACCUCACCUAUUGUUCGACCUCACAUUGAAACGCAUUGAAUGCUUGAGACAAAGCUGAAACGGAAGCGGACAGAACAGAAAGAGUUUACCAGAUACCUCUGUCAAACAGAAAAUGAAUGGAAUCGCAAGGAUCUGAAGAAUGAAAAAUAC
rnacentral:lncRNA from 1 species